GGGGGUAAAUUAAUAAAAUAAGAUUAAUAAAAAAAUUUUUAAUAUUGGGGGAUAUUAAAGUAUUUUUUAAAGAAAAAAUAAAAAAUUUUAUAGUGAAUUAAUAUUGUAAAAGAAAUUUGAAAUAAAAAUGAAAAUUAAUUAGUUGAAAAGUAAAUUUAAUUUGUUGUAUCUUGUGUAUCAGAGUUUAUUUAAAAAUAUUUAAUAUAUAAUAAAAUCUCGAAUUUAAAAGAGUUAAUUAAUUAUGAAAGUUAAUGUUGAAUAAUUAUUUUUAAUAAUUAAUUAGAAAUGAAAUGUUAAUCGUUUUUAAAUAUAUCUAGUUUUUUUAGAAAAGAAUUUAAUUUUAAAUUUAAAAAAUUUUAUGUUUAAUUAAUUAAAUAUUAGAUUUUAAAAUUAAAUAUUUUAAGGGAUAAGCUUUAAUUUAAAUAUUUAUAAUAAUAAUAAUUUAUUAAUAAAAUUUUUAAAAUUUAUAUUGUUUAAAAAUUAUAGUUUAUUAAAAAAAAUUUUAUAAAUAAUAAAAUUUAAUAAGUUUAUUUAAUUUUUUAUAAAAAAAUAUUUUUUAAUAAAAUAAAAAUAGAAAUAAUGAUAAAAUUAGUAUAUUAAAUAAAAAAAAAUUAAAAUUAAAUUUAAAUUAAUUUAAAGGAAUUCGGCAAAAAUUUAUAUUCACUUGUUUAUCAAAAACAUGUCUUUUUGAUAAUAAUUUAAAGUCUAGUCUGCCCACUGAUUUAAAAAUUAAAGGGCUGCAGUAUAUUGACUGUACAAAGGUAGCAUAAUCAUUAGUCUUUUAAUUGAAGACUUGUAUGAAAGAUUUGAUGAAAUAUAAACUGUCUCUAAAUUAUUUAUAAAAAUUAAUUUUUUAGUUAAAAAGCUAAAAUUUAUUUAAAAGACGAGAAGACCCUAUAGAGUUUUAUAAUAAUAUUAAUUAUAAUUAAAUAUAAAAUUAUAAAUUAAAAUUAAUAUUAUUAUUUUAUUGGGGUGAUAGAAAAAUUAAAUAAACUUUUUUUAAAUAAAAUAACAUAGAUAAGUGAAUAUUUGAUCCAUUUUUUAUGAUUAAAAGAAAAAAUUACCUUAGGGAUAACAGCGUAAUUUUUUUUUUUAGUACAAAUAAAAAAAAAAGGUUGCGACCUCGAUGUUGGAUUAAAAUAAAAAUUAAAUGCAAAAGUUUAAAGUUUUGAUCUGUUCGAUCAUUAAAAUCUUACAUGAUCUGAGUUCAAACCGGUGUAAGCCAGGUUGGUUUCUAUCUUUAAAAAAUUUAAAUAUUUUAGUACGAAAGGAUCAAAUAUUUUAAAUAAUUUAAAAUUAAUGAAUAUUAUUAAAAGAUU
rnacentral:rRNA from 1 species